AUUGAAGGAGCAUCAUUGAUGAAUCCAUUAAAACUGCUAUAAAAUAAAGAGAAGGUAAGGAUCUAAUUGUGCAAAAAUCUUAAAUUAAAAUAUAAAAAUGGCAAACAAGAUUGUUGCACUAUUUGUUAUGUGCCUUGUUGUUGUUGCUGCUGUGCAGCUAAUUCCUCAAGCUGAGGCUGAUAUUUUUGCAAAUUGCUUCGUUCAAUGUGAAAAAGAUUGCAUCGCGGCCGGUCAGGGCAAAACCAACUGCGAAAUGAAGUGCGACACCGACUGCUUCGACAAAGAGAUCGCGGCUAAGAUGGUUCCCCAUCCUUGAGCUUUAUGAACACUUCUGGAGUGGAUCAUGGUUACUAAUUCAUAAUAUGUAUUAGAAUGGCACAACAAUACUUUCUUUGUAUUUUUGCUCAUUUGUAAUAAAAAAAAUACUAAUUAACCAUUUUAUUUUAAA